rnacentral:misc_RNA from 1 species
GAGCAACCUAUCCACAAUUUUUUAGUAGAAAUCUAAUAACUGCCCUUUAAACCACCGAGCAAAAAGUAAUUUUAUUCUGAGGUUUAACCACCGACCAAAAAGAAAUUUUAUUCAGAGGUUUAACCACCGAGCAAAAAGUGAUUUUAUUCUGAGGUUUAACCGCCGUCCAAAAAGUAAUUUUAUUCUGAGGUUUAACUACUAACCAAAAAGAAAUUAUAUUCUGAGGAAAUGGGGAAGCUGAACUCGUGCAGCGACAUCAUCGGUGCCCAGGAGCUGACCAGCUUGGGAUUAUACAAGGCCCUGGCUGCGGAGUUCAUAGGCACCCUCCUGCUGGUGCUGGUGGGGUGUGGGUCGUGCUUGGGUGUCACCAACACCACCAGGAUCGCGCUCACCUUCGGCCUCACAGUCGCCACCAUCGCACAGGCGAUCGGCCAUGUUUCGGGGUGUCACAUCAAUCCCGCGGUGACGUUGGGGAUGUUGAUGGCACGGUGCACAUCAGUGGUCAGAGCUGUGCUGUACAUCAUCUUCCAGUGCAUCGGAGCCAUCACUGGAGCUGCCUUGCUUUACGGUCUGGUGCCAUCAUCGUUCGUUGGUUCGCUCGGCAACACGGGCCUGAACUCUGCGGUGUCGGGCGGCCAAGGCUUCGGCAUCGAGUUCUUCAUCACAUUUGUGUUGGUGCUGACGGUGUUCGGUGCGUGUGAUGACCGCAGGAGUGAUGUUAAGGGCUCCGUGCCUCUGGCCAUUGGGCUGUCCAUCACUGCAUGCCAUCUCUUCGCGGUCCCUUUGACUGGCUCCUCCAUGAACCCCGCACGCAGCUUCGGCCCCGCCGUCAUGAUGGGUGAUGACUACUGGAACGACCACAGGGUAUACUGGGUGGGCCCAUUGGGCGGUGGUGCCUUGGCAGGGAUCUUGUACUCGUACCUCUUCAGGCAGCCUAAGGGCGCUCUCACCACCAACGACAUCGAAAUUGGGAAGCAGGAUCGCUUCUAAUGUGCUUAGCUCAGGUGCUUCAGGUGCUUCAGGUGCUUCAGGUGCUUCAGGUGUACUGGUUCGGCCCCAUGUUGGGCGGGGCUGUCGCAGGCCUCGUGUAUUCCUACGGCUUCAAAUCCUCCGGUGAAGAUCAC